rfam:Felis catus isolate Cinnamon breed Abyssinian chromosome C2, whole genome shotgun sequence.
GCCUGGCUGGCUCAGUUGGCAGAGUGUGUGACUCUGGAUCUCUAGGUCGUGAGUUCGAGCCCCACCUUGGGCA